UCUAUCAAACCCAGCAGACCUCCUUCCUCCUCUUCUAUCUCAGGCCACCGGAUGGUUUCGUCUUAUUUCUGCGGAAGUGAUGCUGUUUUCCGAGCACUUACAUUAUGUAAAUUCUGUUGCACAACCGUGCACGCCUAGCUGGGUGUCAUGUGGCACCAGAGUGGACCUAAUCAGUCAGGAAGAUGUGCUGCACGUCAGGGGUCGAUUGAAAUAAGUGUGAUUAGUUGAGACAUUACCUCACACAAGAUCCUGUUAGUGAAGGACGAUAGAAGUUCUACUUUUUAUUACCUCCCCUUUCAGAAUCAUAGCUUCAAUGCAUCAUUUCUGGAUAAAUAUGUCGCUUUCUGCACAUUUGGGUGUGGGAAAGAAAGACAAAGUAUAGCCAUCUUAGAGCUGCAGGGUGUGUGAGUGCGUGUGCGCGCAUGUCAAUCCCUUGCAGCCACUGUGGAGCUAAACCUGUUUUCCUUCGCAUCGUUUCGCAGAAAGUCUGUCUUUAUUUGGCCAUUACAUGAAAAGCUCAGUGCCAGAGCAGCUCCUCUGUACCUGGGUGCAUUCCUGGGUUAAUGUCUCACUGCUUGUUUAUAUUUUCGUGCAUGUGAUAUUGUCUAUCUUCUCUCUAUAGUCUUCAAGGGUUGUCUGUCACAGUAGCCCACGCCCGUGCAUGGGAUGAAGUUGAUUAUGUAAUCGGCUCUCGGGGCAGACACACACACUCGGGGCCAAUUUCUGAAUGGUCUCACUUAAAAUAAACGCUUCGACGCUCCUAAAACACAGCGCAUCGCAACAUAUGAUGAGUUCUUAAACACUAUUCUACGUACAGAAUAUUUUCUUGCAUUCCUGCCUCUCGGGCGAGCGGGCAUGCGCAGGAGACGCUCAGCUUUGGCCUUAUUUGGAUAUGGUAAUAAGCGGCUUGGGCAAGCCAAUCUUUGGAGAGUUUUUAGGCAUGUGACCGUGAAAGAGCGCUUGGGGGGCGGAGCCAGGCGCGCAGCUUCGUAUAAAAGCGCCGGACAGACAGAGCGCAGUCAGUGUAGGAGAAGCAGGGACACUGUGAGGGGAACUUUUGUACGAUGAAACUUAGGAAUAUUUACUAAAUAGUGUAAAAAUUAACAAAAUCCCUCGUGAAUCCAUAACCUGCCCCUAGGGUUUGAGGUUUUUAGUCUAGUUCGCCCGGAAAGGGCUUCUACACUCACUAUUCUGACACUUUUUUGAAAGAAUGUGUGAGACAGACAGUUAGCAGCUAGCUAGCUAGCUGAGGGGGGAGAGAGGCGGCAGGAGAACAAAAGACUUUUUUUGCGUUUUGGUCGGUUGUACUGACACCAAGUCCAUGCAGAACGUGUCAUUACCAUCACAAUGCCCGUUUUACUUUUUCUGAUAGACACGUCCGCUUCCAUGAACCAGCGCACCCAUCUGGGCACUACCUAUCUGGACGUAGCUAAAGGCGCUGUAGAGACCUUUAUGAAGCUCAGAGGGAGAGACCCGGCCAGCCGAGGGGACCGGUACAUGUUGGUAAAUUAUGAAGACGUUCCAUUCGGGAUCAAGGCCGGAUGGAAGGAGAGCCACGCCACCUUCAUGACAGAGCUGAGGAACCUGCAGGCCACCGGACUCACGACUAUCGGCCAGUCCCUGAGGACCGCUUUUGAUUUACUCAAUCUGAAUAGAUUAGUGACUGGGAUAGACAACUAUGGACAGGUAUGUAGUGCUGGAGAAGGACAGAUAGUCAGGUUCAUGACGAAGGUGCUAUAUGCCCUCCUCCCCACCUCCUACCAGAGAUCUCCCCCUUCACCUCACCCUGCUCCCCUUCCCCCUAUCCCCAGUCUGACAAGCAUCAACCACCUGCAUACUGUGAACCCACACAUCCUCAGUCAUACGACACAAACAUGAGUGGAAAAAUAACAGGAACAGCGUAGUUUAUUUACAGCUCGGUAACCGUUAUCCAUUCCACCACUGAUCCGGUCUCUUAAACUGCUUUCAUGCUAAUAUUUUUUUAAUUCUACACAGAUAAAAGCUACAAGUUAGCGUCUAAACAAAGCCACAACAGUGUAUGAUGUAUUUACAAUGUGAGGUUUUAUUAGAUAAACUAGUGCAGUCUGAUACAACAGGUUAAAUUAAACUGUUGUAUCUGUUGAAACUUUUCAUGCUACUAUUUUCAAGUCUAUAUAGAUAGAAACUGCAAGUUAGCAUCUAAACAAAACGCCAACAGUGCGUUAUGUAUUUACAAGAGAACAGCUGUUUUAUAAAGUAAACUAGUGCAGUCUGAUACAACAGCAUUAAAUUAAACUUCUUUUUAUAUUGGUUAUAAUGUUUUGUUGAAACUUUUCAUGCUAAUAUUUUUUAUUCUGUACAGAUAAAAGCUGUAAGCUAGCUUCCAAACAAAACUCCAAAAGUGCUCAAUGUAUUUAAAAUGUCCGUUUUUAUUGGACAAACCUGCCUUAAACUAGUGCAACAGGUCUGCACUAAAUCCAGACUUUUUAAAUAAAGGCUGUAAUGUUUAGUUUAGCUGAAACUUUUAAUACUAAUAUUUAUAUUAUGUACAUAUAUUUUUAUUAGACAAACUACCUGAAGCUUUCCGAUACAAGUCUGCCCUUAAUUCAGUGUUUUAGAGGAGCUGUAAUUGUUAAAUUUUGUUGAAACAUUCAUGAAACUUUUCAUGUUGAUAUUUUUGACUCUGUACAAUUAGCUGUAAAUUAGCUUCUGAGCUAAACUCUACAAGUGCAUGAUGUUAUUUACAAUGUAAGAGCAGCUGUUUUUUAGAUGAACUACCUGAAUCUACCUGAUGCAUCAGGUCUGCACUAAAUCUCUAUUUUUAACAGGGGUUGUAAUGUUAAGUUUUAUUGAAGCUUUAAAUGCUAAUAUUCUAUAUGUGUUAUAUGUAUAUAAUAGCUCCAAAUUAGCUUCUAAACCAAACGAAGACUGCAUGAUGUACUUCCAGUAUGAGGUUUUAUUAGAUAAACCUGAAAUGACUGCAGCCAUAUUUCUUCAUUAAAUCCUCAUUUUUCUAACAUUUGUAAUGUUUAGUUUCAUCUAAACACUUUCAGAAUGGUGUCGUUGCAGCUUAACGGUCAGUUUAGAGGCGCUGCUGGAUUUUAUUGCGUUAUCCUGAGAGGUAAUUCUAAUAUUAGAUCACCGUCGUUGACAUAAAUGGGUUGGACAGAAUAUUCAGAACACCUUUUAGUACGCACAUGGCUUUUAAAAUGGCUAUAAAUGCUUCCUUAAUGUAAUUUAUACUUAAUUUUAAUGAAGGCAGGAUUUAUUUUAGGACAGAUUAUUUCACUUUUAUUAAUUUUAACCAGACAGACUGUAUAAAUUGGCACUGUGUGGUUUAAAGGCAGGUGGAGGACUUUUCAAAUGUAGAUUUAGGUUUACAUUCUGUGACUUUUAUAAACAUUUUCCUUUUUUUUUUGCAUUUUACCUGAACGUCUGUUGUUUUACUGCUUCUGAGAUUUAGACAGUGUAGUUGAUGAUUGUUUUAUUCUUUUCAAGUCGACAACAAGCAGGGGGAUUCGUCUCAUAAGAACGCUCUUAAAUUAUUCAAACCUUCUGUUCACAAGAUCGUGAAUGUUGGAAUAUUCAAGGAAAAAGGAGAAAUGCAAGAAGAUUAGAAGAGAUCUUAGUUUUAUCGUGCUGCUCUGUCGCAAUGCGUGAAUUUGAAGCGAGUCUCUGGGUCCAGUCCACAGCUGUAGGGUCAUCGCAAACAUAUUCAGUGAAAACCACAAAGACUGGAGCUAAUGCGCUGUUAUAGUGCUCCCUGAUGACUUCACCUGUUUGAGUCUGUUUUCAGUCACUGGGAGAGAAGUCGUAUGAGAGAAGGGAUAAUAAAUAGAAGGGUUGUGUUUACAGCGUUAGAGUGCUGCUAUUAGGUCAGGCUAACUUAUCAAAGUCUUGAUUUAAAGUUGGUAGAAAAAGAGGAAAACAAGAGCAAUCCGAGAUUUCUGACCUCCGCCAAGGGAAGAUGAUACAAAGUUGGAAAAUCUAAAUCCGGAUCCAGAAUCCAGAUCCUUAACCGGAUCAACACAAAAUUUGAAUGGAGUCUUCCCUGGGCCAAGAUCCACCUCUGGUGAAAAUUUCAUGAAGAUCCGACAAGUAGUUUCCGAGAAAUCCUGUCCACAGACACGCACACAGACAGACAAAUAAAUAAACGGACCCGAUCGCAUAACCUCCUUGGCGGAGGUAACAACAGAAAGCAGCUUACAGGAGAUGCAUCACCUCAGAUUAUAAGACAUUAUAAGUCUGUAUUCAGGCAGCAGAACAGGCUUUUUUUGAUGUCCAGGCUGUACUCGGUCUGCGGUCGUUUCAGGAUCUGGACGGCUCUUUUCCAGCGUGGUGGUAAGUGAGGAGGAUGGAGCAGUAAUGGAUGUUGAACCAGCAUUUCCAGUUAAUAACUGGAGGAUCCUACCAGCCGGGUAAUGCAUACAUACAGCAUACAUAAUGCAUGUCAGACGCUCUGGGAGUUUAGAUGUCAAACAGCAGCGACGCCGUCUGACCGGCUCACCGGGAAACAAACAGUGGAGAUCAAGGUUACUGUGUCCCUCACUGGUGACCUCUAAUGACAGGUUGAUCUGACAAUAAUUGUAAUUUAAUGACCACUUCUCUCUGCUCUGACCUUUCACAACUGGAGCAGGUCAGUUUCUGAACAGAUGGCACACUCCCAUUGCAAUUACUGGUAACCAUUCCCUUUUUUAAAAGAAGUAUCACAGCAGCCAUUAUUAGAGGGCUUUAUAAAUCUACUACCUUUUAAAAUGUGUUUUUAGUCUUAAACACUUAUUUAAAAUAUAACAAAAUGUGCAUCAGGCACAACAUAGCUGCUCUAAAUAGCCUGUUUAGUUUAAUAAGAACCCAAAAAUACUCAAUUUACAGCCAUAAAACUGAAAACAAUAAUAUUUCAGAGGCUGGUAGCUUUAAUUGUUGGCAUUUUUUCUUGAUGAAUCAAUCAGUACUUUGAGUUUAUUAACUAAACAAUUGAUUGUGAGCUGUUUUCUACUGUUCUCAUCUGCUGAAUGUCUUUUUCCUUUCCGUAAAGAUUAAUCUUAAAUUAGUUUCAAGAGUAAAAUAGGUGAAAUUCCAUCUAAAAGCUAUUUAAAUAGCAGAGUCAGAUGGAAGUCCUGUGUUGCCUUUUGUCAGUACCAAUAACUGUUUGAUUUAAACCAGAUUAUUGGUACAGAUAAUGGUGAUAAACCUCAUUUCCUCUGCUUAUAUCUUUGUAUUUAAACACAGAGAAGAUGAAUGUCUUUUCUUUGAGCAGCCAGGUUUCAUCCACCCUCCUGUCAUUGUGUUUUUUCAGUCUCUCUUCAGCUGCAGAUCAGAUCCUAUCCUAAACAUCGUGGUGGCUCGUGUGUUUUUUGCCGGCUUCGUAUUCAGAAACCUCGGUGUCAUAAUUCAGCACCGCUCGCUUUUCUUUCCACUUUAACUCGCGGGAAGAGUCUGCUUUGAUUUGUCGUCCCGAUGCUGAAGGUGUGCGACGUUCGGUGGGGUAGAGAGGCAGUCGUGAGCCUGUGGAGGAGUUAAUAUUACCCUGGAGGGCUUCUGUCGACGGGAGCAGAGAGCCCUCCAGGUUGCCAGGCAUAUGAGGCGACUCUUCCUGAGAGGUGGAGGUGGAGGGGGGUAAUCCUGACACUGAUCACAGUUUCAUUAAGAGAGCAAAGACAGCAGGAGUCAGGGAGGACAGGAAAGAAAGAUGAUCUGACUGGUGAGGUUUGAGUUGAUCAUGGAUGGAUCAGAUGGAUCCGACUGCAUAGAAAUAACUAUUACGUGUUUAUCUUCUUUAACCAGCUCAGCUUCUAGUCUUCAGCAUGUCACAAAAUAGAGACGGUCUUUCCUAAAGCACCCAGAGAUGUGACUAGACGACUUCUUCAGUCCAUUAAAUGAACCUAAAGCUAUUCGGUUCAGUGUCUCAUUAGGAAGAGAUGGGAGGCAGGGAACUGGCUUUGGUUAAAAUGUGGUUGAUUAUAAGAAUAUACUGGUUUCCUAGACUGUUAUCUGUAGCCUGCUGUUCUAUAUUAAUGACCAGAAAUCUAAUUAUAUGAGCAAAACAUACGGUAAUCGCAUAGCAACAGUAGAAGCCAAAGGAGUUGAUGUGAGACGGAUCAAUUUAUCUCAGUUUGUCCGUGAAAUGACCUUAAAUCUAAAGGUAUUUAAUUUACUGUCUCAUAGGGAAGGCAUAAAAAUCACAUUUUAGAAGUUUGAACCUGUCAGAGUUUUUGCUCAGAGUGAUUAAAUGUGAUUAUUAGAGUAUUUAGCUGCUUGUUUUGUAUCAUCCAUCUCUUAUAGCGACCCAAAAUCUGAUUAUUAAUAGAGACUUAGAGGGAAAUUCUGUUAUUACAACAGCUUUAUAUUCAACUAGGGGGAAAGCAAUAAGACGGCGCAGAAUAUUAGGGUCAGCUAUGAAGUGAAUGUAACAUAAAAUAAAAAUAUAGAAAAUAUAAUAUAUAAUAAUAUAAUAGCUGCAAUUGUUUUUUUAAGGGAGCUGAUAUGACAACAAUAAAAUGAUAACUUAGGUUCUUGGUCUGUCAGAUAUUCUGUCUGCUGCUGUUUAAAUCACCGUCUCAUGAUGAAAUGUGAUUAUUGAUUUUGAGAAUAUUUGGCGAUCGUGCUGCGAGCUUCCUGUCUUGUAUCAUCCAUCUCUUGUGAUGCCUAAAAUCUAAUUAUUAUUAUCUGUGUUUGGCUUUUUAUAGCUUCAUCGUGGCCAGAACAUAACGACACAGAAACAGUACAGGGAGCCGACGUGACAACAAUAAAACUAUAACUCAGUUUGUUUUAUCUGUAAAAUGACCCUAAAGUUAUUUAAUUUAAUGUUUCAUAAGGAAAAAGUAAGAAGCAUUUAAGGAGCUGGAGCCAGAAUCUGCUUAAUGUGAUUAUUGAUUAGGAGAAUAGUUGGCCUGCAGUUCUGCUACAUCCUCCUCCUGUGAUGACCCAGAAUCUAAUUUUAAUCGCUGUGUUUGGCUUCUUUUAGGUUUAAUUGUGACCAUAACGCACAGCAACAGUAGAAGCUCAGGGAGAUGGAAUUAUCACUCCAGUUAUCUUGAUCACCAAUUCAUUAGCAUGCUGAGCAAGGGCCCAGAAUCAUAAAGGGAUUUGGGGAAAGGAGUAAAUAAAAAAAGGCCAGGUUGUCAUGGAUACCUUCAGCAGUAUCCUGCUCUGUUUACUCUGGGCUGUUUGUGUAACUGGACAGAUCCAUCAUUCAGCAGAAAGCCUCCAGGUAGAGCUCCGUUAGUAUCCAGAACAGGACUACAGGUAGAGCUCCGUUAGUAACCAGAACAGGACUACAGGUAGAGCUCCGUUAGUAACCAGAACAGGACUACAGGUAGAGCUCCGUUAGUAUCCAGAACAGGACUACAGGUAGAGCUCCGUUAGUAACCAGAACAGGACCACAGGUAGAGCUCCGUUAGUAACCAGAACAGGACCACAGGUAGAGCUCCGUUAGUAACCAGAACAGAACUACAGGUAGAGCUCCGUUAGUAUCCAGAACAGGACUACAGGUAGAGCUCCGUUAGUAUCCAGAACAGAACUACAGGUAGAGCUCCGUUAGUAUCCAGAACAGGACUACAGGUAGAGCUCUGUUAGUAACCAGAACAGGACUACAGGUAGAGCUCUGUUAGUAACCAGAACAGGACUACAGGUAGAGCUCUGUUAGUAACCAGAACAGGACUACAGGUAGAGCUCCGUUAGUAUCCAGAACAGAACUACAGGUAGAGCUCUGUUAGUAACCAGAACAGGACUACAGGUAGAGCUCCGUUAGUAUCCAGAACAGGACUACAGGUAGAGCUCCGUUAGUAACCAGAACAGGACUACAGGUAGAGCUCCGUUAGUAUCCAGAACAGGACUACAGGUAGAGCUCCGUUAGUAACCAGAACAGGACUACAGGUAGAGCUCCGUUAGUAACCAGAACAGGACUACAGGUAGAGCUCCGUUAGUAUCCAGAACAGGACUACAGGUAGAGCUCUGUUAGUAUCCAGAACAGGACUACAGGUAGAGCUCUGUUAGUAUCCAGAACAGGACUACAGGUAGAGCUCCGUUAAGAACCUGAACAGGACGGUUUUUCUCUGCAGUGGGCUCCGGCCUGCUGACUGUUUGCUGACAGGACUGUUGGGUCGCGUUCAGGGUCUUACGUUCACCUGGUUAUUCGGUGGAGAUCCCACAAGGCUGAAGUGAUAAAUGCAGCUCCAGUUUGGUUUCAUCAGCUGAUGUCAUGAAAUAUUAUGAGGUGUAGCAGAAUAGGGGUCUCCUGUAGGUCCUCAUAUUCUCUGCAGAGUGGAGCAUAGAGUGAACGUCUACUUCAGAGUUAUAGAUACUAAAGACCUUUAGUGCUUCUAUUUAUUAUCCCCUUGAGUUUCUGCUUCUCUCCCUGAAAUAGGCCCCCUGUAGGUUCUCUGUUAAUGAUGCAUUGUCUGCUCCCAUUUGUGCCUGAGAUGUCCAGUACCAUAAAUAAUCACCUGCUAAACACCAGGAUUCAUUCACCCUGUCACUGUUUUAACUUGGAGUUCACUGCUGCUAUUUGCUCACUUUUAAUUUUUGAUAGCUUAAAUUUUCUCACUGGGUCCCUUCAUUGAGUCACCAGAAAAGAGUUUACAUUAAUCUGACAAGUUACUUCCAUGAUUUUGUUUUAAAAGUAAUCAUGAAUGCUUCUUUUUUUUUUUGUGCCUCUCUCUGCAGGGAAGGAAUCCUUUUUUCCUUGAGCCGGCCAUCAUCAUCGCAAUCACCGACGGCAACAAGCUGACCAG